AUUUCAUUUUUAUUUCAGUUCUCUCAGGAGCGUGUGCGUUGGCUCCUUGUAAGAAUGGCGGAACGUGUUUGGAUGUAAUGUCAGUAGUUGCCGUUUGCCAGUGUCUUCCCGGAUUUAGAGGGAAUUUUUGUGAAGUGCCAGAUGGGAAACCGUGUAUGGUGGACGGAAUUUUGUACAGAGAUACUCAACUAAUCGACUUCUAUUGCUCAACUUGCGUUUGUAACGAUGGCAACAUGGAAUGCAAUGACGAAUGUGGU